ACUAACUUUACAGGUGCGCUUUUACAAUCAUGGCUGGCAAAGUGGAAUCACGAGAAAGAAGGAGAAGAAGGAUUGGGUCUGAGUUUGUUUUGGAUUGCGCAUGACACCAUACAUCUUGAGUUCAGAAAUGCUGCCGUUAUGUCAAGUGGGAAGAGUAUGAGGCCUUGCAAUCAUAACUCAUGCAGGGAGUAAAUGUAAUGCCAAGCCCUGAAGCCCGAAGGGAUUCAGGAAGGUUGAUCCAAACUGGUGGGAGUUUGCAAAUGAGUGGUUCCUAAGGAGCAGACACAUUUAUUGAAAAAUUUAGUGAGGAGAAAAUGCAACAAUAACUUUCCCUCUGAGAGUUCAUGUUCUGGAUUUCUGUUUCAGGGUUGGACCUAAUUUUCAAGUUUGCAACUUUAUAAUCCCAAAAGCCAGAAGAGAUUUAGGGCUUGACAUAGUCUAAAAGCCAUGGGAGAAGAUCAUGUGUACACAAAAGAUCGGAGGGUUGAAUCCAUUCCAGAUGAGGUUCUCAAAUUUUGAUUUGUUUUUAGUUUUUCCCCGUUCUCUUCUUUUUACUAAAACCUGUCUUCAUUUGUUUGUGUACAACUCCUUGCAUUCUCUGGCUCACACCCACUUAACAGUAAUUGGCUCUGAUUCUGUAUGCAAGCAGGUCUGCCAUUACCCUGAUCCUGUAACAAGGUUUAACAUUGCACCAGACUUGAUGAAUCAAGCAAAAGAUUAUUUGAACAAAACUAUAUAUGUUUGUUAUAUUGUUGGCUAGAGUGAGUGUUUUAGAAUGCGCAAAAAAAAAAAAAAAUGUAUCUUCUAAUGUUCCAAUUAUGUUUAUUCGACCCAAAAGUUGUGGUUGCACAGUUGUGUGCAGUCCUGCCUUACUUUGAAUGCCAAUUUAGGAUGGCCUGCCUUUGGAAUGUUGAUUUA